CGGGGUGUAGCGCAGCUUGGCAGCGCGCUUCGUUCGGGACGAAGAGGUCGUGGGUUCAAAUCCCGCCACCCC
rnacentral:tRNA from 1 species